UCCCCCUCCCGGUUUCGCGGCCAAACUUCUCCUCUCUACCCAAAAUCCCCGCUUAUUUCCCCGCCUCCGCCACCCCCCUUCCGGUUUCACCCAAAACCACCGCCUUCCUGACCAACCCGUCGCGAUUAGAGUUAAGUAGGAAUGCAACGACGCGAUCGCGGCGUACAGAGACCCCAAACUCCCAUCUUUCUCCUCUUUCAGCUCUGCUCCCACCCGAAACCAUUGAGUAAGGUAACUUAACAUCCCAUCCUGGAUAUACUGAAUCGGCUGAUUCACAUGAUUGAGUAAAUCCUGGAUUUACGGCCGAAAUCCUUGAAAUCCUUAUUUAUUUUGUCCAAAUUGACCGGUUGGCAAGAUUUAGGUUAAAUCCUGCUCUAAAUCCGUUUUCAGACAGCCCCCAUGAAAUGCCACAACCCAAGGCCAGCUCUUUUUGCCAACCCUCCCAACAGCUACAUCCGUUUCCGAAGGAGAUAUAUCCUUGGAUUCUUCUCUCUGGAGUGGUGGAUGCAAUCCCCCCAUGAAAUUAGCUUUCAAGGAUUCCAGUUUCCAUCCAAAGCGAUACUCAGCUUAUGAUCCAUGCCCACUCAGGCUUGAAUCUCCUUUUGGGUUUCCCUGAUAAGGAUAUGCAAUGGCUUUAUUCUCAUCAGUGAUUGUGGAGCUUAAGCCAUCAGAACUUUUUUGCGAGCACAAGAAGAACGGCUGCUCGUCAAAUCAAAGCGGAAAUUUCAGUAAGAAAAGAAGAUAUGAACAAUAUUAUUUGGAUUUGAGACAAUCCGUUUUCAUGCUUUAUGCUUGUUCUUUAUGUGGACUGAUGUAUGCUCGUGGAGUAGAAGAGGACGACCAGGUUCACCUUAAGUUCCACCAGGACUACGAGAGGGGAAUUCGGUUCAAGGGAUGGCAUAAUGAGAGAGUAGUAUGUGGUUCUUGGACCAAUGGGAAUCACAUUUUACUCAUUUUGGAUACAGAUCCAUCCACUCACAAACGCUUGAAAGCUGUUCAAGCCAAGUGUGGCAUUAUGACCAUUUGAGUGGUUCCAUCCAGCAGAAGAAAGAAAAUUGCCACUCAGUUAUUGGAUGCUGCUAGGAAGAGUGCGCAUUCUCUCCACCUACCACAGCGGGUUGGCAUUUACUUCCAGCUAUACAAACAACAGAUCAUUCCUUAUUUACAGAGCAGAUGACGUUUGAAUUCCUGAAAAAUUGGAAGAUAAGCUCCGGAUUUUCGGGGAACUCCGGGCGAGUGUUAUGCCUCUGUUAACAGUCGUUAUUGUUACUCUCGUCACGCUGGCCACAUAGCUACAGAUGACAGUUCUACAGGUGCCCACGGUGGGCAGACGGUCCGGAUAAGUGUGAGUUCUUCAGGUGAGCAGACAGUCCGGCUGAUUCCACUGUCGAUAGUGAUCGGGGUUCGACGGUAUCCCAACCAGAAAACAUUGCUCAGGGUUCGACAGUAUUCCAACCAAACAACGUUGCUCGUGACAUGCUUCUUUUUUCUGCAUUUUA